CUACCUCCAUCACUGUCAGUGAUGCUGAUAAGAGUAAACAUUGCAUGCGGCUGAGUCAGCUUUGUUUAUACACUGGGGAAAACCCGAUCUAAACACAGUGCAAGAAGACUCAAUUAGAGUAUUUCAUAUUGCAAUUUAUUCUGUAUAUACACAUAGGAAAUUCUAUUUUAGCAGCCUGUAGACUGUAAACUGUUACCUAUUAUGAAUUCUAUUUCUUUUUCUAAAAGCAGAUUUUACAUAUCUUUUCCAAAUAUUUUCCCGAAAAAUGAAUGUGCAUUUUUUGUAGUUUUUCUUUCCUUUAACACUUCGUGGCAUUCUGUGAUUUGGUUUCCAAAUUGAAGUAAAUUCUCUUUCAACAUUUUCAUUCCAGUGACAGACUGCUAAGUUUGUUCUAGCAUUAUACUGGGCAUCUGAAAAUGAUAUUCUUUUAUCUUGGUAAACAUUUACAACAUUAUUAAAACUUUCUACGUAAAAUGUAUCCUUACAAAGUCUGUAAUCAUGAGGAUGCUUAAAUAUAACAGAAUUUUUUAUGACACCUAACAACAAUUUCUCAGCUCUUGGAUCUGUUAUAACUUUUCUAGAAAUUUCAUAAUUAGGGUCUUUUUUGCACCUUGAUGAUCCAUGACAAGCUUGAUGAUUAUUUUUGUAAUGUUCAACAAUGUUGAGAAGAAGAGAUUUCAAUUUUUCCGGGUCUUCAUCACAGUUUCUGAUGGCCCAAUGGAAAUGUGUGGAUAUUGGUUCAACCUUGUCAUCUAAUUGGGAUGACCAGGUUUUUCCAUUUAAAUAAGCUGGUCCAGACGAAAUUUUUUUCAGAGCUGCUUUCAUGGACUUUACAGCAUGCCAUGUGUCAUUUUGGCUCUCUGAGUCGCACUCCUCACGAAUAAAUUUGUUAAUUGACAAAUUUCUGUCAUGAGCAUGG
rnacentral:sRNA from 1 species